UGAGUAACCUGCCUUCAGCUUUGGGAUAACCCUCGGAAACGGGGGCUAAUACCGGGUAUUCAGCUUCUGCGGCAUCGUGGGGGUUGGAAAGUUUUUCGGCUGGGGAUGGGCUCGCGGCCUAUCAGCUUGUUGGUGGGGUAAUGGCCUACCAAGGCGGCGACGGGUAGCCGGCCUGAGAGGGCGACCGGCCACACUGGGACUGAGACACGGCCCAGACUCCUACGGGAGGCA
rnacentral:rRNA from 1 species